CAAUUCAGUUUAGGGUUUAAAACCCUAAUGCUGAUUAAAGGGAAAAGGUCAGUUUAGGGUUUAAAACCCUAAUGCUGACUGCUUGGGAAAGCUCAGUUUAGGGUUUAAAACUCUAAUGCUGGCUGAAAGGAAAAAAGUUCAGUUUAGGGUUUAAAACCCUAAUGCUGACUAAAGGAAAAAUUCAGUUCAGGGUUUAAAACCCUAAUGCUGACUGCAUGGAAAAGCUCAGUUUAGGGUUUAAAACCCUAAUGCUGGCUGAAAGGAAAGAGUUCAGUUUAGGGUUUAAAACCCUAAUGCUGGCUGAAUGGAAAAAGUUUAGUUUAGGGUUUAAAACCCUAAUGCUGACUGCAUGGAAAAGCUCGGUUUAGGGUUUAAAACCCUAAUGCUGGCUGAAAGGAAAAAUUCAGUUUAGGGUUUAAAACCUUAAUGCUGACUAAAGGAAAAAUUCAGUUUAGGGUUUAAAACCCUAAUGCUGAUUAAAAGGAAAAAGCUCAGUUUAGGGUUUAAAACCCUAAUGCUGGCUGAAUGGAAAAAGUUCAGUUUAGGGUUUAAAACCCUAAUGCUGACUAGAAGGGAAAAUUCAGUUUAGGGUUUAAAACCCUAAUGCUGAUUAAAGGAAAAAGCUCAGUUUAGGGUUUAAAACCCUAAUGCUGGCUGAAUGGAAAAAGUUCAGUUUAGGGUUUAAAACCCUAAUGCUGGCUGAAUGGAAAAAGUUCAGUUUAGGGUUUAAAACCCUAAUGCUGAUUAAAGGAAAAAACUCAGUUUAUGGUUUAAAACCCUAAUUCUGAUUAAAGGAAAAAGCUCAGUUUAGGGUUUAAAACCCUAAUGCUGGUUGAAUGGAAAAAGCUCAGUUUAGGGUUUAAAACCCUAAUGCUGGCUGAAUGGAAAAAGUUCAGUAUAAGGUUUAAAACCCUAAUGCUGACUAAAGGAAAAAUUCAGUUUAG
rnacentral:lncRNA from 1 species